rnacentral:lncRNA from 1 species
UUGCACGCCCAAUUUUUCAGUUUUUGAUUUGUUAGAAAAGUGUGAAAUAUCCAAUAAUUGUCGUUCCACUUCAUGAUUGUGUCCCACUUGUUGUUGAUUCUUCACAAAAAAAUACAGUUUUAUAUCUUUAUGUUUGAAGCCUGAAAUGUGGCAAAAGUUCGCAAAGUUCAAGGGGGCCGAAUACUUUCGCAAGGCACUGUAAAAUUAUUGGUGAAGAGAUUUAAUGUAAUUUUAGCUUCCAAAUGAGAGAUUUGGGUUUUCAUAAGGUUAGGGCUCUGCUCAAUCAGUGGCCCGCCCCUGUGAAGGGACAUGGGUUAUAAAACCUUUCAAACACGCCCUCCUCUCCCUUCCUAUAUAAAGCCUUGACGACAAUAUAACCUCCUGUUCCAAGUACGUGAGGUCUGCAGCCUCUGUGUUAAAAGGACUAACAUGUCAACUACAGAACUAAGCCAACCUCAGCAUGAGCUUUGGUUGUGAAUGGUAUGAACUUUGAACUCUUAUUCACUACAGAAGUGAUACCUCCUAGCCGUUGAGUUAGCAACAGCAGCUGCAAACGCAGGCUAGGAAAGAACAGACAGAGUAUUCCGUCUCUCACACAAUGACGUUACUACAACAUAUCCAAUUGACCACCAGAGACAUUCUUCAAAGGACAAAGGACUCAGUUUGGCAACAUGGCCUUCCAUCUACCACCAACCUACCGAAGCGCAGCUCAGAGUAAAUAUGUAUUGCAUUUUCCUUUUCCAAAUGGGUGGUAAUUUAGAAUGCAUAAGAUACUUUAUUUACGAUAGCACAGCUUCUCCCUUUGUCCCUCAGUCUUCCCACUCUUUCACUCAAACCCAGCACCUUUUCAUUUGUGUAACCAGCAGUCAUAUCUGUUCCGACCGCGCAAGGGACGAUUUCCUUUAUGACAUAAUUUGUAAUUCUAGAUUGAACAUUCAGAUGUCGAGUUUCAGAAGAGGAUAAGAAGGCUCCUCUCCUGUCCAGGUAAAAGCGUUAAUAGCACUUUCCUAUUUCCCCGCUGGGACUGUGUGUGUGUGUGUGUGUGUGUGUGUGUGUGUGUGUGUGUGUGUGUGUGUGUGUGUGUGUGUGUGUGUGUGUGUGUGUGUGUGUGUGUGUGUGUGUGUGUGUGUCUGGGACACAGCAUGCUGGUGGAGCUCGGCGACGUGAACCUCUUCAAGGUUAAUCAACCCUACCAUUGUGUACGCUUCCUGGGAAAUUGAUGUAAGCAAAAAGUUAAGAGACUUAAUUCAUAAAUAAAUCACACAAUAAACAAUGGUGUUUGUGUUGUCUGUGGCAGGGCGAUGCAAUUCGUUGGCAAGGGAAAGCAGAUUUACACUCACUGCACAUUACGAAUUAGUAAGACCGCGGGAGACAAUAAACAUGCAUUACGGUACAACAGGACAGAAAAAAAGGAGGGUGAAAAAGACAUGAGAUGAAAGCCAAAAACAAAUCUUGGGAAGGUGAGUCAAUGCCACAGGCAACGGCAGGGUGUGUAAAUGUUAUGUUUCAGCAAUUACUGUUACCCUUUUCACACCACUGAACCAAGCUGAGCUGUACUGCACAGGCGUGAUUAGGCAUCCACCAUAGUUGCUAGACCGUGCUGAAUUCCCCCCCCCCCCCUACCAAAAAAAGACAA